rnacentral:rRNA from 1 species
CCUACGGGAGGCAGCAGUGAGGAAUAUUGGUCAAUGGCCGUAAGGCUGAACCAGCCAAGUCGCGUGAAGGAAGAAGGAUCUAUGGUUUGUAACCUUCUUUUAUAGGGGAAUAAAGGUAUCCACGUGUGGAUAUUUACAUGUACCCUAUGAAUAAGCAUCUGCUAACUCGGUACCAGCAGCCGCGGUAAUACGGAGGAUGCGAGCGUUAUCCGGAUUUAUUGGGUUUAAAGGGUGCGUAGGUUGUUUUUUAAGUCAGCGGUGAAAGUUUGUGGCUCAACCAUAAAAUUGCCGUUGAAACUGGAAGACUUGAGUGUGUUUGAGGUAGGCGGAAUGCGUGGUGUAGCGGUGAAAUGCAUAGAGAUCACGCAGAACUCCGAUUGCGAAGGCAGCUUACUAAGCCAUAACUGACACUGAAGCACGAAAGCGUGGGGAUCAAACAGGAUUAGAUACCCGUGUAGUC